AAGGAGCUCACAGUCUAUUGAGUUGCCUUUCUGACUUUCCCACUAGAUUGUGAGCUCCUGGA
ensembl:miRNA